CAGCCGCCGCGGGAAUACGAGGGGGGCAAGCGUUGUUCGGAUUUAUUGGGCGUAAAGGGUGCGUAGGCGGUUUGGCAAGUCUUGUGUGAAAUCUUCGGGCUCAACCCGAAGCCUGCACGAGAAACUACCGGGCUUGAGUAUUGGAGAGGUGAGUGGAAUUUCCGGUGUAGCGGUGAAAUGCGUAGAUAUCGGAAGGAACACCUGUGGCGAAAGCGGCUCACUGGACAAUAACUGACGCUGAUGCACGAAAGCUAGGGGAGCAAACAGGAUUAGAUACCCCCGUAGUCCCUGUCUCUUAUAA
rnacentral:rRNA from 1 species